rnacentral:lncRNA from 1 species
AUUUUAUAGCUAGUAUAUAUAAAAGGUUGCAUGCAGCUUUACUUUACUGAAAAUUAUUAACAGGUUUUCAUACAAUAUUUUAUGUGAUAAAAAUGUUUGAAAAGAUAUGUUUAUUAAAAAGACAUAUUUAAGAACAUAUAUGAUGGUACACACAAAGAUCCUCAAAUGGUAUCAUAUAUGGUCCAUAGUAGGCCAAGUAUUAUCAAUUUCUUUAUUCUGUUUCAGCGGAUAUAUGUUGAAAAUCAUUCCAGUUGAAACAAUUUCAUUAUAUAAUAUUGAUAUUAUAUACAUAUCAAUUGAAAAUAAUAUAAAAGCUAUAUUGCAUAUCUAUUUUUGAGGCAAACAAGAACAUAUUAUUUCCUGUUUUCAACUGUUUUCUU